rnacentral:rRNA from 1 species
UACAGAGACUGCAAGCGUUAUUCGGAUUCACUGGGCGUAAAGGGUGCGCAGGCGGCCGUGUGUGUGAGGCGUGAAAGCCCGGGGCUUAACCCCGGAAUUGCACCUCAAACUACAUGGCUAGAGCAUUGGAGAGGGUAGCAGAAUUCAUGGUGUAGCAGUGAAAUGCGUAGAUAUCAUGAGGAAUACCAGAGGCGAAGGCGGCUACCUGGACAAUUGCUGACGCUCAGGCACGAAAGCGUGGGGAGCAAAA